rnacentral:rRNA from 1 species
GACAGAGGCCUCAAGCGUUAGGCGGAAUCACUGGGCUUAAAGCGUGUGUAGGCGGGUCGUUAAGUACCUUGUGAAAUCCCACGGCUCACCCGUGGAACUGCUGGGUAUACUGGCGAUCUUGGGCCAUUCAGGGGCAACUGGAACAAGCGGUGGAGCGGUGAAAUGCGUAGAUAUCGGGAGGAACACCGGUGGCGAAGGCGGUUCUCUGGGCCUUACCUGACGCUGAGGAGCGAAAGCGUGGGGAGCGAACAGG